AUGAACGCUGGCGGCGUGCUUAACACCUGCCAGUCGAACGCUGAAGCCCAGCUUGCUGGGUGGAUUAGUGGCGAACGGGUGAGUAACACGUGAGUAACCUGCCCUUAACUCUGGGAUAAGCCUGGGAAACUGGGUCUAAUACCGGAUAGGAGCGUCCACCGCAUGGUGGGUGUUGGAAAGAUUUAUCGGUUUUGGAUGGACUCGCGGCCUAUCAGCUUGUUGGUGAGGUAAUGGCUCACCAAGGCGACGACGGGUAGCCGGCCUGAGAGGGUGACCGGCCACACUGGGACUGAGACACGGCCCAGACUCCUACGGGAGGCAGCAGUGGGGAAUAUUGCACAAUGGGCGCAAGCCUGAUGCAGCGACGCCGCGUGAGGGAUGACGGCCUUCGGGUUGUAAACCUCUUUCAGUAGGGAAGAAGCGAAAGUGACGGUACCUGCAGAAGAAGCACCGGCUAACUACGUG
rnacentral:rRNA from 1 species